GACGAACGCUGGCGGCGUGCUUAACACAUGCAAGUCGAACGGAAAGGCCUCUUUCCGGGGGUACUCGAGUGGCGAACGGGUGAGUAACACGUGAGUAACCUGCCCUUGACUUUGGGAUAACUUCAGGAAACUGGGGCUAAUACCGGAUAGGAGCUCCUGCUGCAUGGUGGGGGUUGGAAAGUUUCGGCGGUUGGGGAUGGACUCGCGGCUUAUCAGCUUGUUGGUGGGGUAGUGGCUUACCAAGGCUUUGACGGGUAGCCGGCCUGAGAGGGUGACCGGCCACAUUGGGACUGAGAUACGGCCCAGACUCCUACGGGAGGCAGCAGUGGGGAAUAUUGCACAAUGGGUGGAAGCCUGAUGCAGCAACGCCGUGUGCGGGAUGACGGCCUUCGGGUUGUAAACCGCUUUCGCUCAUGACGAAGCUUUGUGUGACGGUAGUGGGUAAAGAAGCACCGGCUAACUACGUG
rnacentral:rRNA from 1 species